CUGCCCCCUACCGGUAGAAACGGAACACAGCCCAUUACCUGAACACACUUGUCUCUGCUGCUGAGAGUCAGAAGCGUUGAUCUGACCACGGGCUGUGAUCUCAGUGACCUUUCCAGGGGUCAGCUGGCGGCUAUGGUGACAGAGGGGUCAGUCUGCGGCCUCGGUUCAUCUCUCGGUCAACAUCAGAUAACAAGUUGAUCCAGCAUUCUUUUGACUGACGUGAUGCAGAGACAGAGCUUGGCUCGAUCAGGACGUCGUCUCGGCCAGACCCCCGCCGUGCCACCCCAGCCCGCCCACAGCCGAUCAAUAUGACUGGAGUUGGAGAAACAGGUAUUUUCUUCCUCGUCGAAGAACCACAGAAUCCGGCGAGACAACUGGAUUGCAAUGGACUAACAGAGUCAACUUUUCUGAAAACAUCUGCAGAAGUCACUUAUUUAGUGAUAAGGAGUAAAAGUGAACAAUUUUUCACCCGUUUGGAUAAGGAUUGUGUUUUUUUAUAUUAAUUUGUUGUUGUCAAGUAUGCUAUAACGUUCUGUAAAUUCCCCCGAGUGUGGAGCAUAUGUGAGUAUGUCAGAUGUGGACUAAUGAAUAUUAAUACACGUGUGUCUAACUUUUCUAUUCUGUUUAUAUCAUGCUUAGCCUUUGUGGAAAAACAUUUAUCAAUGGUUAUUAUUUUCAUUGACUGGUCUUUUUUAUUUGAAAUUGUGAUUUUUAAAAUUAAUAGGCUAUAUGGAUUUAAAACUGUAAAAAGCGCACGUUCAUAUUAAAAAAUAUAUAUAA